GGAGGGUAGCGAAGUGGCUAAACGCGGCGGACUGUAACCGCUCCUUUCGGGUUCGGGCAGUUCGAACAUCUGCCCCCCUCCACCA
rnacentral:tRNA from 1 species